AAGAGUAAGAGGGCUGUCCGGGACUACCUCUUCCGAGUGAACGAGGCCACAGCUGUCCUGUACGCCCGCCACGUGCUUGCAUCCCUGCUCGCCGAGUGGCCUAGCCACGUGCCAGUGAGCGAGGACAUCCUGGAGCUCAGUGGCCCUGCCCAUAUGACCUACAUUUUGGAUAUGUUCAUGCAGCUGGAAGAAAAGCAUGAGUGGGAGAAGGUAGUUAUGCAGACUGAGCUUGUGCUCACCCACCAGGUUCUUCCUCUGCCCCACAGGCUUCCUCCAGUGAGUGCUUCCUGGAGCGAGGCUACCUGUGUGGCUGUGCAGCUCCCUGACAGGUGUGAAAGCAGCAAAGGUAGGGUCACUGUAUCCUCUCCCAAGGAUUGGGCUAGUGAGGAACUCAGGGGCCCUGAGCGCGAUUUCCAGCUGAACCAGAAAGCUUUGUCGCCAUCUUCCCAGUUUCCAAGUUCCGAAAUCUUGAGGCACAUUCGGUAGCUCCUUUUUGAUCCUGUCCCUCACCCACCUUCACACACACACACGCAGUCCAUGAGGAAGUUCAUUUGGCCUCUCAGCCUUGCUUUGUCCAUCUGAGAACACCACCAGGCCUCGAGGUCCUUUCCCGGCCUUGCAGCCCUGCAGGUGCUGGCAGGCUUGCUCUAGCAUAUCUAUCUUUCGGAAGGGACAGAGGGAGCCACCCUGCCUCUACUAGGCCCUUGCAUAGGCGUGUCCUCCCACAGUUCUUGCCACCUAGAGCUCCCAACUCUGCACCUCACUCCAGGCAUCGAUUACAUUGUGUGGUCAUUAUUUAUCCAUAGGCCAAUCCACCUGCUUGGCUGGGGACUCCUUCAAGGACCAGGACCCUUUAUGAUUAGUUCAGUUAGUUCUUUCAGACCACCUCUAAGCAGCAUCAUUCUGAAAGGACUGCAGUGUCCUGAUUGACAGCAAGAGCCUGGUCAAGGAGAGGUGGCUGGUGGAGUUGGUUUUGGGUGGUGGAGUCACAGAGGCUCGUCCUAGGUCUAACAUGAUGCCAGCACCUUUGGGUGGGGCUUGGGUUGAAGUAAACUGUCCCUUCUUCCUGAUGCCACUUGCAGGCCCUGACCUUAUCUGUCUGCUUCCCACCAGAUCCUGCAGAAAGUGCUCCAGGGCUGCCGAGAGGACAUGCUGGGGUCCAUGGCCCUGGCUGCGUGCCAGUUCAUGGAGGAGCCAGGAAUGGAGGUGCAAGUGAGGGAGUCGAAACACCCGUAUAACAACAACACCAACUUCGAGGAUAAAGUUCACAUUCCUGGUGCCAUCUACCUCUCAAUCAAAUUCGACUCUCAGUGCAACACAGAGGAGGGCUGUGACGAGUUAGCCAUGUCCAGCAGCAGUGACUUCCAGCAAGACCGACACAGCUUCAGCGGGUCUCAGCAGAAGUGGAAAGAUUUUGAACUUCCAGGAGACACUCUGUAUUACCGCUUCACCUCCGACAUGAGCAACACCGAGUGGGGCUACAGAUUCACCGUGACGGCCGGACACCUGGGGCGGUUCCAGACAGGAUUCGAGAUUUUGAAGCAGAUGUUGUCAGAAGAAAGGGUCGUGCCUCAUCUCCCAUUGGCAAAAAUUUGGGAAUGGCUGGUGGGCGUGGCCUGUCGCCAGACUGGCCAUCAACGAUUAAAAGCCAUCCACUUACUUCUGAGGAUUGUGCGAUGCUGCGGCCACAGUGACCUGUGUGACCUUGCGCUGUUGAAGCCCCUGUGGCAGCUCUUUACCCACAUGGAGUACGGCCUGUUUGAGGACGUGACGCAGCCCGGCAUCCUCCUUCCCCUGCAUCGUGCCCUCACUGAGCUCUUCUUCGUCACCGAGAACCGUGCCCAGGUGAGGCCUGAGGUCUGGGCAGGGAGCCCGGUGCCUCCAUGUGCGUUUGCUCCCUCUGCUACCCAGGGCAGAAGCUGCUGCCUCAUCCGAGCCUGAGUGGCCAGGGUCUCGACAGGCCACACAGGACAGGCAUGGCUGAGAGUCUGAGGCUCUCGCCUCUCCCAGGCCUGGGAAACCCUCAGGUCAGCUCUGAGAUUGCUUAUUUUGUCAGGCCUAGAGCCAAUGGGGGAGAAACCGCCCGGGAUCAGCCCUUGACAACAGUGAGUUUUGGAAAAUAAAACGAUGGGUUAUUUCUGCUUCCUUCUCUUUUUUUCCUCCCCUCAGCACAAUAGACUGAUUGAAUGUGGGAGCUGAAAGGGCCUUUCAGAGUUCUUUAGCUUCCCUCUCCUUUCACACAUGAGGAAACUGGCUUGAGGAGGGGUCCCAGCCUGGUCACCCAAGGGCAGGUGGAGGCAAAGGUGACCCCGGCACCGGGCACCUGGCUCCCGCCGGGGUUCUGAGCAAGGCAGUGCCACGCGGUGCUGGGCGGCAUGAGUAGCGUCCGCCCAUGAGAGGCUUCUGCUUUCGCAAGCAGGUGUCCCAGGUGGUCUGGGAGAGCUGCACUGCGUAUCUGGCACUGUCGCUCACAGCCCCUGCUCUCUCUCUGCAGGAGCUUGGUGUGCUGCAGGAUUACCUGCUGGCCCUAACCACGGACGACCACCUUCUCCGCUGUGCGGCACAGGUACUCUCUCCACCCCAACAGAGCUGGCCCCCAGGCUGGGGCGCCACCAUCUCACCAUGGCCAGGGCAGAGAAGGUCUGUGCAUUGCGUCUGAGUAGGACAGAAUCCACCCGGAGCUUACACAGAGCUUGUUCCAGUUUAGUCACUUCCUCCUGGUGCUCAGAGAGCAUGCACGAGCCCCAUUUAUCAGAGUCAUUCACUCUAAACUGUGGGGUCAGAAGAAUUUGUGUCUUUAAAACCAAAACAACCGAUGCCUUAAAUUUAGUUUGGCUGAUUCUUGAAGUUUCCGUGGAGUUAGAUUUCACAUAUUUUUAGAUGUGAGUUGCUUCUCUGGUAGCGGAACUCCUCUUCUGACAGCUGUUUGGUCUCAGGACGCUUCACACUUUUCACUGACUGAGGAGCUCAGAAAGCUUUUGGAUAUGUCUAUUAUGCAUAUAUCCAUAUGUGCCAUUAGAAACGAGAUUUUCGAUUUAAAAAUUAAGCAAAAGUGUAAACCUUUAUCAAUUUAUUUUUUUAAAGUUGUGAACCCAUUUCAUGUUAACAUGAAUAACACGUCUUGUGAAAAACAACUCUAACUUUUCAAAACAAAGUAAUUACUGAGUGCUCUGGGACAAAUAGGUGACC
rnacentral:sRNA from 1 species